rnacentral:rRNA from 1 species
AUGCCUCAGUAACGGCGAGUGAAGCGGCAAAAGCUCAAAUUUGAAAUCUAGCACCUUCGGUGUUCGAGUUGUAAUUUGAAGAUGGUAACCUUGGGUUUGGCUCUUGUCUAUGUUCCUUGGAACAGGACGUCAUAGAGGGUGAGAAUCCCGUCUGAUGAGAUGCCCAUUCCUAUGUAAGGUGCUAUCGAAGAGUCGAGUUGUUUGGGAAUGCAGCUCUAAGUGGGUGGUAAAUUCCAUCUAAAGCUAAAUAUUGGCGAGAGACCGAUAGCGAACAAGUACAGUGAUGGAAAGAUGAAAAGAACUUUGAAAAGAGAGUGAAAAAGUACGUGAAAUUGUUGAAAGGGAAGGGCAUUAGAUCAGACUUGGUGUUUUACGAUUAUCUUCUCUUCUUGAGUUGUGCACUCGUAUUUCACUGGGCCAGCAUCGAUUCGGAUGGCAAGAUAAUGGCAGUUGAAUGUGGCUUCACUUCGGUGGAGUGUUAUAGCUUCUGCUGAUAUUGCCUGUCUGGAUCGAGGGCUGCGUCUUUUGACUAGGAUGCUGGCGUAAUGA